UCUGUUUGUCUGUAGAGACCCUCAUCACACAACCACAGAAGUGUAAUUAUAUUUUGAGCACUAUCAGUGGUAUUAAAUAGCAUUUGUUUUUUGACGUUCUAGCUGCCCCCUUAGCUUUCUUGUUUGUACUCUGGAUUUACACUUUUUAGAGGGUGCAUGUAAGUUUUCUCUUUACAAGUGUAUCACUGUUAUUGUUUCUUUUUUUACGCAUAGAUGGUCCAGGAGGUUCUGGAGAAGAGUUAAAUGGGAGAGGAAAUAAUGGAGGAGUAUAGUAGAGCACCUUGACACACUGUACAAGAAGGCAUCUUCUGAAUAUCCUGGUCCAUGGGAUACCAGUACGAAGUCAAGGAAAAAGAUAUGCACUCGGCAUUGUGACUGUUUCCUAAUCUCAGGGAUCCUUACUCCACCAAUGGCUAUGAACACUUCUACGAUGCUGGAAGAGGGACGGGCUAUCUGGCAUGGCGCCUAAAGCAACGAGUGUCGCAGCGUUUGGUCAAGAACAGCUCGGGAGCCUUGGAAUACAUGAACACCAUGAGCUUUUUAAGGAGGUAGACUUUCUAAUGAGGAGACACAGCAAUCAAAAAAUCCUCCAUAGAAAUGCAUGGGGUUAGUUUGUAACGUAUGGUGUUGUCUACAUAUAUCACACCCCCCUCCGUGGCAAAACGUGGACAUGUAAAUACAUUGAGCCAAUCAUGUGGUGUGUUGUGAAGACAUUGAUUGUGCCAAUCAUGUGUUGUGAUCUUGCCGCUGGAGCAAGAUUGGUGUUGUGAAGCCUGCCAAAAGUGCCCAAAAUGCGUUGCAAUAUGGCUGCUGAGUGGAGGGACUUGCCUAAAAGGACUUUGGGUAUACCCACAUGUAACAUCACUUCAUGGUGCAUU